AUUUACAUCUCUCUUUAACACUAAUUAAGAGCGUUAAACCGACAAUACUGAAUACCAUAAUUAGCAUGACCAUGUUUAAAGGUGGUCGCUAUGGAGUUAUAUUAUCAAAUAGCACCCAGAAGAAUAUAAUUGAUAAUCCUUACCUCUUUAGGGAGCAAGGAAAUGAAGUCUCGUUGAAACUGGGGUUCUAUCACUUGCAUCAUAUGUUUUACUUGUGUUGGUUCACAACUAUCAAUAAGUUCAUCUAAAGCAAGCAAUUUCUCUGGUCCACUCCAGCUCUAUCAAAAAGGAAGUAGAAAUUUUUAUUAUUUUAAUAGAUGUCUCAAGCUAUAAACUCAUAAAGGAAAAUCCACGUUUACACAUAACAUA
rnacentral:lncRNA from 1 species